rnacentral:rRNA from 1 species
UCAGGGUUCGAUUCCGGAGAGGGAGCCUGAGAAACGGCUCCACAUUAAGGAAGGCAGCAGGCACGCAAAUUACCCACUCCCGGCACGGGGAGGUAGUGACGAAAAAUAAUGAUGCGAGACUCAUCCGAGGCCUUGCAAUCAGAAUGAGUACACUUUAAAUCCUUUAACGAGGACCCAUUGGAGGGCAAGUCUGGGCCAGCAGCCGCGGUAAUUCCAGCUCCAAUAGCAUAUAUUAAAGCUGUAAAGCUCAUAGUUGGAUUACAGUUCUGGACUGAUGGUAUAUACACCUAUUGGUGCUUACUAUCACGCUCCUAAACAAGCUCACUUUGUUGAGCCCCACUAGCUCACACGGGGUGCUCUUGAUCGAGUGUCCCGAGUGGCUGGUAUGUUUACUUUGAAAAAAUUAGAGUGCUCAGAGCAGGCUCCUAUUAUGGCCUGAAUGCUUAUGCAUGGAAUAAUGAAAUAAGACCUCGAUUCCAUUUUGUCUGGUUUUUAUGGAAUUGGAGGUAAUGACUAAUAGAGACAAACGGGGGCAUUUGUAUUGCGACGCUAGAGGUGAAAUUCUUGGACCGUCGCAAGACAAACAACUGCGAAAGCAUUUGCCAAGGAUGUUUUCAUUAAUCAAGAACGAAAGUUAGAGGUUCGAAGGCGAUCAGAUACCGCCCUAGUUCUAACCAUAAACGAUGCUAACCAGCAAUCCGCCGGCGUUAUUCCCAUGACCCGGCGGGCAGCUUCCGGGAAACCAAAGUCUUUGAGUUCCAGGGGAAGUAUGGUUGCAAAGCUGAAACUUAAAGGAAUUGACGGAAGGGCACCACCAGGAGUGGAGCCUGUGGCUUAAUUUGACUCAACACGGGAAACCUCACCAGGCCCAGACACUGGAAGGAUUGACAGAUUGAGAGCUCUUUCUCGAUUCAGUGGGUGGUGGUGCAUGGCCGUUCUUAUGAUUUGUCUGGUUAAUUCCGAUAACGAACGAGACUCUGGCCUAUUAACUAGUCGACGGAUCUCCAUUAAUUGGUGUCCAGUUGCAACUUCUUCUUAGAGGGAUAAGCGGUAGUCCUAGCCGCACGAGAUUGAGCAAUAACAGGUCUGUGAUGCCCUUAGAUGUUCUGGGCCGCACGCGCGCUACACUGAAGGGAUCAGAAUGUUUUCCCCCUCCGAGAGGAGCGGGUAACCCUGUGAAACCCUUUCAUGAUAGGGAUUGGGGCUUGCAAUUAUUUCCCAUGAACGAGGAAUUCCCAGUAAGCGCAGGUCAUGAGCUUGCGUUGAUUAAGUCCCUGCCCUUUGUACACACCGCCCGUCGCUACUACCGAUUGAAUGAUUUAGUGAGGCCUUCGGACUGGCGCUCUUGGCAAACACUGGUUACUUCACAUUGUGGGGUACCGGUGCCUCGAGCUGACGGAAAGAUGUCCAAACUUGAUCAUUUAGAG